GAAGUGCUUGCACUCAAUUGGAAAGAGGAGUGGCGGACUGUGGUGAGUAACACGUGGGUAACCUACCCAUCAGAGGGGGAUAACACUUGGAAACAGGUGCUAAUACCGCAUAACAGUUUAUGCCGCAUGGCAUAAGAGUGAAAGGCGCUUUCGGGUGUCGCUGAUGGAUGGACCCGCGGUGCAUUAGCUAGUUGGUGAGGUAACGGCUCACCAAGGCCACGAUGCAUAGCCGACCUGAGAGGGUGAUCGGCCACACUGGGACUGAGACACGGCCCAGACUCCUACGGGAGGCAGCAGUAGGGAAUCUUCGGCAAUGGACGAAAGUCUGACCGAGCAACGCCGCGUGAGUGAAGAAGGUUUUCGGAUCGUAAAACUCUGUUGUUAGAGAAGAACAAGGACGUUAGUAACUGAACGUCCCCUGACGGUAUCUAACCAGAAAGCCACGGCUAACUACGUGCCAGCAGCCGCGGUAAUACGUAGGUGGCAAGCGUUGUCCGGAUUUAUUGGGCGUAAAGCGAGCGCAGGCGGUUUCUUAAGUCUGAUGUGAAAGCCCCCGGCUCAACCGGGGAGGGUCAUUGGAAACUGGGAGACUUGAGUGCAGAAGAGGAGAGUGGAAUUCCAUGUGUAGCGGUGAAAUGCGUAGAUAUAUGGAGGAAACACCAGUGGCGAAGGCGGCUCUCUGGUCUGUAACUGACGCCU
rnacentral:rRNA from 1 species